rnacentral:lncRNA from 1 species
AUGAGCGAGGUUACCAAUGACUGCCCAACUGCCCUGCUAUAUAGCGGGUGGUUCCUGGGGCUGCCUCCCAAACGCCCGUCCCUGGGUCCUGGCACAGAAAGUUCCCGGGGAAGUGAGGAGUUUCAGGGUACCCUCAUAAAAAUAACCCAGCCUGCUCACGGCUCCCUUGCCCACUGCUCAUGUCACACCUGGGGCUCUGGCAAAGCUGAGCUCGGCUCGGGAGAUUUUCCCGUCGCCAGAGUUCCCACGAAGGGGAGCCCACCCACGGCGUCAGAGGCCCUGGUCGCGGUGCCAUUGACUGCAGGGACGAGGCAGAGAGAUGCCGCGGAAGAUGGUGGAUAGCUGUGAAGUUUCGGACCACCCAGCCCUUCCCAAUUUCCAGCUUCUCUCCGCCAAUCAAAAGUGCUGUGUUUGAAUGUCUUUCGUGCUUCCCGAUGUGCAAAAACUCAGUUACACCAUAGGAUGGUUAGUAGCAUCAGAAUAUUAGCAUUCAGUAGCUGCUUCAAGGUCCUGCUCCCCUCCCGCUCCCAUCC